rnacentral:rRNA from 1 species
CCUACGGGAGGCAGCAGUGAGGAAUAUUGGUCAAUGGCCGGAAGGCUGAACCAGCCAUGCCGCGUGAAGGUCAGUGCCCUAUGGGUUGUAAACUUCUUUUAUAUGGGAAUAAAAUGUUCCACGUGUGGGAUUUUGUAUGUACCAUACGAAUAAGGAUCGGCUAACUCCGUGCCAGCAGCCGCGGUAAUACGGAGGAUCCGAGCGUUAUCCGGGUUUAUUGGGUUUAAAGGGAGCGUAGGUGGAAUGUUAAGUCAGUCGUGAAAGUGUGCGGCUCAACCGUAAAAUUGCAGUUGAAACUGGGAGUCGUGAGUACAGUAGAGGUGGGCGGAAUUCGUGGUGUAGCGGUGAAAUGCUUAGAUAUCACGCAGAACUCCGAUUGCGAAGGCAGUUCACUGGACUGCAACUGACACUGAGGCUCGAAAGCGUGGGUAUCAAACAGGAUUAGAUACCCCGGUAGUC